rnacentral:rRNA from 1 species
ACAAAACAUAUCGUCCAAGCUAAUCACUAAAAAAAACAAUUAAAUACUAAAUAUAUAUAUACUAAACAAUAAAACAUAAGUACCGUAAGGGAACUAUCAAUGAUAUAAAGUAGUGAUAAACACACGUACCUUGUGCAUUAUGGUUUUACAAGCCCUAAAUUAAAUAUAUUAAUCCCGAAUUCUACACGAGCUGCUACUAGGUUGAUUAAGAUCCCACCACUAACUGUGGCACUAAUUUUGGAAAACCUUAUAGCAGAGGCUACAUACCACACGCGUUAGAAAAUUGCUGGUUCUUGGAGAAAUUUAUUAAUUAAAACAUGUAGAAUACUACAGUGUUAGGUUUCAGAGGACAAGCCCUGUAACAAUAAAGCUAAAAUACAGUAUAGCAUUAUAUUUAAUAGGCUCAAAAACAGCCAUACACAGUACUUCACCGUUCAUAAUAAUAAAUAAUACAUAUAGUAAGUUGCCACAACAAGCCAAGAUUUGAGCAAAACAAUAAACCUCAAUAUUUUAUGUAAAAAUAAGUAUUAGUCAAAAACAAAAUAUAAACUUAAAACAAAUCUAAAUUAACCCGAUAUAACACUUAUAAAGGAACUCGGCA